rnacentral:rRNA from 1 species
AUACCCUAUUAUUUUAAGUGUUAAUUUUGCUUACCUGGGUACUAUUAGUUAAGAUCUUUAAACCCAAAGAAUUUGGCGGUACCUUAUUCCAUUCAGAGGAACCUACCCCAUGAUUGAUAGUGCACGAUUGACUUUACUUAAUUUAUUUGUUUGUAUAUCUCCGUUAUCAGAAAAUCUUAUUGGAGUUAUAAUUUUCUUGAUUUAUAAUUAUAAAAUAUUUCAGGUCAAGGUGCAGCUUAUAAUUAAGAGGAGGUGGGUUACAAUAAAUUUUUGUUUAUUAUGGAUUUAAUGGUGAAAUACUAUUAAUGAAGGUGGAUUUGAUAGUAAUUUAAUUUAUUUAAUUUAAUUGAUAUUGGCUCUGAGGUGUGUACACAUCGCCCGUCACUCUCA